rnacentral:rRNA from 1 species
UACGUAGGGGGCUAGCGUUGCUCGGAAUCACUGGGCGUAAAGCGCACGUAGGCGGAUUGUUAAGUCGGGGGUGAAAUCCUGGAGCUCAACUCCAGAACUGCCUUCGAUACUGGCGAUCUUGAGUCCGGGAGAGGUGAGUGGAACUCCGAGUGUAGAGGUGAAAUUCGUAGAUAUUCGGAAGAACACCAGUGGCGAAGGCGGCUCACUGGCCCGGUACUGACGCUGAGGUGCGAAAGCGUGGGGAGCAAACAGG